AUGUGGACAGACUGGCAGGUCUCAGGAAAACUAGAAUGCCUCCAUUCUGAGGAGGGCAAUGUGGGGCAGUCUUAUUUUUCCUCCACUGAUGAUGAUAUCCAAUCUGUUUAUUCUUACUUUUGUGAGUCAGUACCCAAGAACAACACAGUCAUUUUUCAGAACACAAUGAGAAUUACUCAGAAUGACAGUUUGUUUUACACCUCUGUGCUAGUACAGGAUAAAGUUGAGCUGAAGGGGAUGUUAGAUAGUGGGUCCAUGGCUACUACUCUGCGCGCAGAUAUUGUACCUCGGUUGAGGGAGGCAGGAGUGGUAGAGGGGAACUUUCUAGCUCCUUCAGAUAUCAUCCUGGUGGGUUGUGGUGGGAAGCAAACUAGUCCAGUGGGCAUGUGUGAUUUAAAAAUUCAGCUUUAUGGCUUCAGCUAUGUAGUCCCAGUGCUUAUUGUAGAUGGGCAGGUUGAUGAACUCAUUGUGGGCACUAAUGUGUGGAAGUCUUUGAUUAGACAGUUCAAAUCGAAUGACAGCUACUGGCGGGUGGUGGGUACACCAGGUUCCUCUAGCCAGUGCGAUGACAGCCACUUCCUGCGUCUCCUGUCAAAUCUGGAGAGAUGGAGAGGAGACUCCAUCCCAGAUAAAGUAGGCACCAUUAAGUUGAAGAGAGCAGUAACGCUCCAACCCAUGAGUGAGCAUCUGGUGUGGGGCCGCCUACCCCCAAAGACAAAACUCUCUGUGGGCAGUACUGUUGUUGUCGAGCCCAGCACGUCUCGGUGUGUGAAUCGACACAUACUAGUGGGGAGAGUAGUUACGCCUCUGUGGGGGGUUGGAUGGCUACCUGUGAAGAUAGUGAAUCCAACAACAUCACCAGUUACCCUGAGACGAAAUGCUAAAGUGGCGGAUGUGUAUCCUUGCAUUGCAUUAGAGGAUUUUGAUGAUGUCAAGCAGCAAGCAGCUUACCAGAACGUGGCUAAAGUUCAAUGUGACAGCUCACACGGCAGUCUGACAGCUAAGAGUUCAGUUGGUGGCAGUGUAGUUCAUGGCAACAGUACACUGAGCAAUCUUGGACUUCAAGGCCUGUCUGUUGAGGAGUGUCCAGUUUCACAGUUCUGGAAGGAUAAACUUGUCAAUUUAAUUGGGAAGUAUGACACAGUGUUCUCUAGACAUAGCCUAGAUUGUGGUGAGGCAAAGGGGUUCUGCCAUCGCAUACGGCUGACUGAUGACCGCCCAUUUCGAUUACCUUAUCGUAGGCUUUCUCCAGCUCAUUACCAAAAACUCAGGGAAACACUGGAUGAUAUGGAGGAAAAGGAAAUCGUCAGAAAAUCCAGCAGUGAGUAUGCCUCACCUUUGGUGCUGGUAUGGAAAAAGAAUGGGGAUUUGCGCCUAUGUACUGACUUUAGGUGGUUAAAUGCACGCACUGUAAAGGACGCUCAUCCCCUGCCUCAUCAGGCUGAUGUACUGGCCGCGCUGGGAGGUAAUGCCUUCUUCAGCACAAUGGACUUGACGUCAGGGUAUUAUAACGUGCCACUGCAUGAAGAGGAUAAGAAAUACACUGCCUUUUCCUCUCCUUUAGGUCUGCACGAGUACAAUCGGUUGCCUCAGGGCCUAUACAACAGCCCGGCUACGUUUAUGAGAAUGAUGCUGACCAUCUUUGGUGACCAAAACUUUCUAAGUCUCCUUUGUUAUUUGGAUGAUCUGAUGGUUUUUGCUAAGACUGAGGAAGAGAGUCUGCAGAGACUUGAGAUGGUUUUUCAGCGGUUGCAGGAGCACAAUCUUAAACUGUCUCCGUCUAAGUGCUAG
rnacentral:lncRNA from 8 species